rnacentral:rRNA from 1 species
AGAGUUUGAACCUGGCUCAGGAUGAACGCUAGCGGCAGGCUUAACACAUGCAAGUCGAGGGGUAACAGGGAAAGCUUGCUUUCCGCUGACGACCGGCGAACGGGUGCGUAACACGUAUGCAACUUACCCUUUACAGGAGGAUAGCCCAGAGAAAUCUGGAUUAAUACUCCAUAACAUAUCAAAUUCGCAUGUUUUUGAUUUUAAAGUUCCGGCGGUAAAGGAUGGGCAUGCGGCCUAUUAGCUUGUUGGUGAGGUAACGGCUCACCAAGGCUACGAUAGGUAGGGGGUCUGAGAGGAUUAUCCCCCACACUGGUACUGAGACACGGACCAGACUCCUACGGGAGGCAGCAGUAAGGAAUAUUGGACAAUGGGCGAAAGCCUGAUCCAGCCAUGCCGCGUGCAGGAAGAAGGCCCUAUGGGUUGUAAACUGCUUUAAUACAGGAAUAAACCCCCUUACGUGUAAGGGGCUGAAGGUACUGUAAGAAUAAGCACCGGCUAACUCCGUGCCAGCAGCCGCGGUAAUACGGAGGGUGCAAGCGUUAUCCGGAUUUAUUGGGUUUAAAGGGUCCGCAGGCGGAUCAAUUAGUCAGUGGUGAAAUCCUGCAGCUCAACUGUAGAACUGCCAUUGAUACUGAUAUUCUUGAAUAUACUUGAAGUGGGCGGAAUGUGUCAUGUAGCGGUGAAAUGCUUAGAUAUGACACAGAACACCGAUUGCGAAGGCAGCUCACUAACGUAUUAUUGACGCUGAGGGACGAAAGCGUGGGUAGCGAACAGGAUUAGAUACCCUGGUAGUCCACGCCGUAAACGAUGAUUACUCGAUAUUGGCGAUAUAAAGUCAGUGUCCAAGCGAAAGUGAUAAGUAAUCCACCUGGGGAGUACGGUCGCAAGAUUGAAACUCAAAGGAAUUGACGGGGGCCCGCACAAGCGGUGGAGCAUGUGGUUUAAUUCGAUGAUACGCGAGGAACCUUACCUGGGCUUAAAUGUAUUUUGACAGGCUGGGAAACCAGUCCUUCUUCGGACAAUUUACAAGGUGCUGCAUGGUUGUCGUCAGCUCGUGCUGUGAGGUGUCGGGUUAAGUCCCAUAACGAGCGCAACCCCUAUCCUUAGUUGCCAGCGAGUAAUGUCGGGGACUCUAAGGAAACUGCCGGUGCAAACCGUGAGGAAGGUGGGGAUGACGUCAAAUCAUCACGGCCCUUACGUCCAGGGCUACACACGUGCUACAAUGGCGCAUACAAAGGGCAGCUACAUGGUGACAUGAUGCUAAUCUCUAAAGUGCGUCUCAGUUCGGAUCGAAGUCUGCAACUCGACUUCGUGAAGCUGGAAUCGCUAGUAAUCGUAUAUCAGCAAUGAUACGGUGAAUACGUUCCCGGGCCUUGUACACACCGCCCGUCAAGCCAUGGAAGUUGGGAGUGCCUGAAGUCGGUGACCGCAAGGAGCUGCCUAAGGUAAAACUAGUAACUAGGGCUAAGUCGAAACAAGGUAGCC